rnacentral:rRNA from 1 species
ACGCACGCUGGCGGCGUGCUUCACACAUGCCAGUCGAACGGAAAGGCCCUGCUUUUGUGGGGUGCUCGAGUGGCGAACGGGUGAGUAACACGUGAGUAACCUGCCCUUGACUUUGGGAUAACUUCAGGAAACUGGGGCUAAUACCGGAUAGGAGCUCCUGCUGCAUGGUGGGGGUUGGAAAGUUUCGGCGGUUGGGGAUGGACUCGCGGCUUAUCAGCUUGUUGGUGGGGUAGUGGCUUACCAAGGCUUUGACGGGUAGCCGGCCUGAGAGGGUGACCGGCCACAUUGGGACUGAGAUACGGCCCAGACUCCUACGGGAGGCAGCAGUGGGGAAUAUUGCACAAUGGGCGGAAGCCGGAUGCAGCAACGCCGCGUGCGGGAUGACGGCCUUCGGGUUGUAAACCGCUUUCGCCUGUGACGAAGCGUGAGUGACGGUAAUGGGUAAAGAAACACCGGCUAACUACGU